GUGGGUAAAGCUCAGUGAUAGAGCACAUGCUUAGCAUGCAUGACACACAGGGUUCAAUCCCCAGUACCUCCA
rnacentral:tRNA from 1 species